GGGGUUGUGGCUCAGUGGUAGAGCACUCACUUGGCACGUGCGAGGCCCUGGGUUUAAUCCUCAGCUCCA
rnacentral:tRNA from 1 species